CAUUCUCUCUCGUCUCCGAGCUGCUGCUUCGGACCUCCGUGGCGCCCGGUGCCUUUAUAAGAAGAGGGGCGAGAGGGAGCGCUGAGAGCCCCCCCGCUCCCCCCAGGAGAUGCCCCUAGAAAGGACUCCCGUGCACAGGUUGCCCACUGGGUACAAGUGCCAGUAUCCUGUUAGGAAAUGUCCUUGUUUGCUCAGAUAGUGACUCGUACACACUUAUGCUCUGCAAGGCCACACACUUAUAUCUACAAGACCCGAUCGUCCGCUGCACCCCGACCGACCUGCUACGCUCCUCCACCUCUACCCAGUCGGUGGUCCGACAUACAGAAGGUCCAAAAGCGCGAAGGUUCUCGGUUCUGGAUCCGUUGUGGUGGAACGACUU